GCGAGGGGCCAAUUUCUGAUUUCUUUUGAAUCUCCUGAACGUUUUGCUUCCUAUUUGCUCCUGCUACAAUAUGGCUUCUUUUUCUACAGGUCCCUUGCAGAAUCUUUAGAAGUCCUGCCCAGGCAAGAGAGCUCUCCUUGAGGUGACCACCUGGAGCAUCUAUACUGCAGGAAGGGCUGCUUUAGAAAAUGAGAAGGAUAGCAAUCAGGAUCUGGAGUCAGCAAACUGGAAUGGACGGGGCAAAUCAGGCCCCCUGCACCCCGAUACACACACUUCCAUCAGGACACGUUGCUCUCACUCCUCAUGCAUGUGAUGUCUAUGACACUUUCCAUACUCCAAGGGCAGAAUCAGGAAUAACCUCUUUGAAGACCGGGGUGUGAGCUGGCUUGUUCACCACAGUAUCCCCCAGUGCCCAGAACUUUAAAGGGGCUCAAGAGCAUUUGUUUAGUAAAGAACACCAUGUGGCUAACCUAACAAGAUGCAAACGGAGGUAGUAAGAUUGAAGACAGAUGCUGCUGCUGGGACUCCUACAGCCGGCGGGGAUGGAGGGCAGUUGAAGAGCCAACGUGAAGGGAACGUCUAGAGACUGGGAGGAAGUCUAACACCUUUCCUCUGUUCAGUGACUGUUACCCCUGAGACCCUAGGGCUACACACGUGAACAGACUGCCAUGGUCCUUGUCCUCAUAGUGCUGGUGUUGUAGCAUGUUGUUUAAACCCUCCAUCCCCAUUUUAGGGCAUGGGGAAGCCUUUUUUUUUUUUUUUUUUUUUUUUUAAUGUGAAGGGCCA